rnacentral:rRNA from 1 species
CGCGUAGGCGGUUGUGUUAGUCAGAUGUGAAAUACUUCAGCUCAACUGAAGAAAUGCAUUUGAUACUGCAUAACUAGAGUACAGGAGAGGGAAAUGGAAUUCCCGGUGUAGAGGUGAAAUUCGUAGAUAUCGGGAGGAACACCAGUGGCGAAGGCGAUUUCCUGGCCUGAUACUGACGCUGAGGCGCGAAAGCGUGGGGAGCAAACAG